ensembl:lncRNA
AUGCCUUUUUUUCUUCAGGAGAAUGGUGACAUGGCAAGCGAGCGUUUCCCCCCCAGGUCUGUGGAUAUGGUUCUGGAAGAGGUGGAAUCAGACUGGGAGGAUGAAAACCAGGAGAAGCCAUUAAAGCCCGAGCAUACUGUACUGUCCCUGAAGUCACUUCAUUCGGAGCCACCGUCAAUGCGGUCUGUGAGGUCGAUGCAGUCGCUGCAGCCGCUGGCCGAACAUGAGGUGGAGGACAAACUGGACGAGUCCAUUCAGCCAGAUGUGCUGAUCGUGCCUGAGGUGACGCAGACAUCCUGCUCACACACAGAAGAUGCAGAGACUCAGACUGGGAGAUGGACGCCUUUCAUGGAAAACAUCAAAAAGGAGGCAGAGGACUCUGCCAUAGCGACCAUGGAAGAACGCCUGCGUCUUGAGCGUCUGGAGCUGGUGCGAGUGGCAGAAGAAGUGGCCAGGCAGACGGCUGAGAUGGCCGUCAGACAAAUGUCAGAAGGGCAGGGAGCCAAGCAGGCAUUUCAGACCCACGAGGAAGAGAAUGAUGUGGACCUGGAGUGA